AGCGCAGGCGGGAAGACAAGUUGGAAGUGAAAUCUAUGGGCUCAACCCAUAAACUGCUUUCAAAACUGUUUUUCUUGAGUAGUGCAGAGGUAGGCGGAAUUCCCGGUGUAGCGGUGGAAUGCGUAGAUAUCGGGAGGAACACCAGUGGCGAAGGCGGCCUACUGGGCACCAACUGACGCUGAGGCUCGAAAGCGUGGGGAGCGAACA
rnacentral:rRNA from 1 species